GCUAACCAUUGCUAAAGCUCACAAUACGACAAGAUGGGAGAAAUGUCUGGGUCCUUGAUUGGCUUCAUAGAACAAAGCUCUCUCCACUGCCCACUAACUUUGAUUGGAUGGUGAUGUAGAGUUCAUCGUGGAGAGGACCAAGACAGAAGAUCAAGAAGAAUUUUUUUUUUAAUCUCUUCCCUUGUCCACCGAAAGACCAUCAAAACUAGAGAGAGAUUAUCAAAUGCCUGGUGACAAGUCCUCGGCUGCACUGGCUUCACAGGAGCUUAUGUGGAGAAGAAAAAGAAUUUGAGCCACAGCAACGAAACUCUAAAGUUGUUUCCAACUCUCUUACCAAAAGAGGCAUCCAGCCCAACAGCUCUCAACCUGGAGUAAAGCUCCCACGUGCCCUGUGGAGCAUCCUCGCUUUGAUUCCAUCCCUUUACUCCCAUUCAGAGAAUUCUACUUGAAUUUAAAUAAAUGACUCUUCUGCUA